ACUGAGGGAAAAGGAUUUAUUCGCUUUAGGAUGGACUCGCGUCCAAUUAGCUAGUUGGUGAGGUAACGGCCCACCAAGGCGACGAUUGGUAGCCGGACUGAGAGGUUGAACGGCCACAUUGGGACUGAGACACGGCCCAGACUCCUACGGGAGGCAGCAGUGGGGGAUAUUGCACAAUGGGGGAAACCCUGAUGCAGCGACGCCGCGUGGAGGAAGAAGGUUUUCGGAUUGUAAACUCCUGUCGUUAGGGACGAUAAUGACGGUACCUAACAAGAAAGCACCGGCUAACUACGUGCCAGCAGCCGCGGUAAAACGUAGGGUGCAAGCGUUGUCCGGAAUUACUGGGUGUAAAGGGAGCGCAGGCGGGAAGACAAGUUGGAAGUGAAAACCAUGGGCUCAACCCAUGAAUUGCUUUCAAAACUGUUUUUCUUGAGUAGUGCAGAGGUAGAUGGAAUUCCCGGUGUAGCGGUGGAAUGCGUAGAUAUCGGGAGGAACACCAGUGGCGAAGGCGGUCUACUGGGCACCAACUGACGCUGAGGCUCGAAAGCAUGGGUAGCAAACAGGAUUAGAUACCCUGGUAGUCCAUGCCGUAAACGAUGAAUACUAGGUGUUGGGGGAUUGACCCCCUCAGUGCCGCAG
rnacentral:rRNA from 1 species